GCCCGGGUGGCGGAAUUGGCAGACGCAGGGGGCUUAAACCUCCCGGGCUGCGGCCGUGUGGGUUCGAAUCCCACCCCGGGCA
rnacentral:tRNA from 1 species